rnacentral:tRNA from 1 species
AGCUCAGUGGUACAGUAUUUGUCUAGCACGUAAAAGGCUCUGGGUUCAAUCCCCAG